rnacentral:rRNA from 1 species
CCAGUGANAAAGUGNAGGAAGGNGGGGAGGANGNCAAGUCAUCAUGGCCCUUAACGAGCCAGGACUACACACGUGCUACAAUGGUGGGGUACAAAGGGUAGCUACACAGCGAUGUGAUGCUAAUCUCAAAAAGCCGAUCGUAGUCCGGAUUGGAGUCUGCAACUCGACUCCAUGAAGUCGGAAUCGCUAGUAAUCGCGGAUCAGAAUGCCGCGGUGAAUACGUUCCCGGGCCUUGUACACACCGCCCGUACACACCAUGGGAGUUUGUUGCACCAGAAGUAGGUAGUCUAACCGCAAGGAGGACGCUUACCACGGUGUGGCCG